rnacentral:rRNA from 1 species
UGGGGAAUAUUGGACAAUGGGCGCAAGCCUGAUCCAGCCAUGCCGCGUGAACGAUGAAGGCCUUAGGGUUGUAAAGUUCUUUUGUCAGGGAAGAUAAUGACGGUACCUGAAGAAUAAGCACCGGCUAACUUCGUGCCAGCAGCCGCGGUAAUACGAAGGGUGCUAGCGUUGUUCGGAAUCACUGGGCGUAAAGCGCGCGUAGGCGGCGAUAUAAGUCAGAGGUGAAAGCCUGGAGCUCAACUCCAGAACUGCCUUUGAAACUAUAUUGCUAGAGUGUCGGAGGGGAUAGCGGAAUUGCUAAUGUAGAGGUGAAAUUCGUAGAUAUUAGCAGGAACACCGGUGGCGAAGGCGGCUAUCUGGACGACAACUGACGCUGAGGCGCGAAAGCGUGGGGAUCAAACAGGAUUAGAUACCCUCGUAGUCCCUGAGCGGGCUGGCAAGGCGCAU